rnacentral:lncRNA from 1 species
CGAGGAUUUGCCACCAAUUAACCGUGUAACUAUAUUCCACCGCAAACCAAGUAAGACGGUGUCUGUCCCUUGCCUUGAAGGCCUGGGUCUGAGCCACUCACGAUGCUCCCUCCAGCUCAGCCUGCGGCAUGGGAUUUUCAUUAGAUGGCGUUCCUUGUAUUCAAGCAAGUCCUGCUGGGGUAUAAAUACCGCUCCUUUGUUUUUGGAGAAGUGAAGAAGGAGCAAAGAGAGAGAAGAAUGGGUGAACCCCAGUUAUACGUGACAAUUGUCAAGGGAAAGAAGAGAAGGGUCUAAGAGAUAAAGGGCGUGAGAAGAUGAAGUAAAUAGAAAAUAUCUCUGACAAACUUCACUUCCCUUCAUACCUUUGCUCCAGC